rnacentral:rRNA from 1 species
GACGUAGGGCGCGAGCGUUGUCCGGAUUUAUUGGGCGUAAAGAGCUCGUAGGCGGCUUGUCGCGUCGAAUGUGAAAACUCGGGGCUCAACUCCGAGCUUGCAUUCGAUACGGGCAGGCUAGAGUUCGGUAGGGGAGACUGGAAUUCCUGGUGUAGUGGUGAAAUGCGUAGAUAUCUGGAAGAACACCAAAGGCGAAGGCAGUGUCCUGGGUGGUCGCUGACGCUGAGAGGCGAAAGCCAGGGGAGCGAACGGG